UACGUAGGGUGCGAGCGUUAAUCGGAAUUACUGGGCGUAAAGCGUGCGCAGGCGGUUGUGCAAGACAGAUGUGAAAUCCCCGGGCUCAACCUGGGAGCUGCAUUUGUGACUGCACGGCUGGAGUGCGGCAGAGGGGGAUGGAAUUCCGCGUGUAGCAGUGAAAUGCGUAGAUAUGCGGAGGAACACCGAUGGCGAAGGCAAUCCCCUGGGCCUGCACUGACGCUCAUGCACGAAAGCGUGGGGAGCAAACAGG
rnacentral:rRNA from 1 species